rnacentral:rRNA from 1 species
UACGGAGGAUGCGAGCGUUAUCCGGAUUUAUUGGGUUUAAAGGGUGCGUAGGCGGAAUGCCAAGUCAGCGGUAAAAUCGCGGGGCUCAACCUCGCUCCGCCGUUGAAACUGGUGUUCUUGAGUGGGCGAGAAGUAUGCGGAAUGCGUGGUGUAGCGGUGAAAUGCAUAGAUAUCACGCAGAACUCCGAUUGCGAAGGCAGCAUACCGGCGCCCAACUGACGCUGAAGCACGAAAGCGUGGGUAUCGAACAGG